UACGUAGGGUGCAAGCGUUAAUCGGAAUUACUGGGCGUAAAGCGUGCGUAGGCGGCUAUGUAAGUCAGAUGUGAAAUCCCUGGGCUUAACCUGGGAACUGCAUUUGUGACUGCAUUGCUAGAGUGUGGUAGAGGGAGAUGGAAUUCCGCAUGUAGCAGUGAAAUGCGUAGAUAUGCGGAGGAACACCAAUGGCGAAGGCAAUCUCCUGGACCUGCACUGACGCUCAUGCACGAAAGCGUGGGGAGCAAACAGG
rnacentral:rRNA from 1 species